rnacentral:rRNA from 1 species
UACGUAGGGGGCAAGCGUUGUCCGGAAUCAUUGGGCGUAAAGAGCGUGUAGGCGGUCCGGUAAGUCGGCUGUGAAAGUCCAAGGCUCAACCUUGGGAUGCCGGUCGAUACUGCCGGACUAGAGUUCGGAAGAGGCGAGUGGAAUUCCUGGUGUAGCGGUGAAAUGCGCAGAUAUCAGGAGGAACACCGAUGGCGAAGGCAGCUCGCUGGGACGGUACUGACGCUGAGGCGCGAAAGCGUGGGGAGCGAACAGG